UGAGUCCUGGGCACUGUGUCAGCUUAGGCAGUAAAGAGAAGUGAGAAGCUGGGCUUGGUGGCACAUAGCUAUUACAGUCCCAGCAGUUGGGAGGUAAGAACAAGAGUCUCAUGAGUUCAAGGCCAGCUUGAACUACAUGAGACCCUUUCUUUAAAAAGAAAAGAGAAAGCGUCUAGAAGCCUCACUGUGUGGUUGGAACAGGAGAUGGGAUGUUAGGUGGGUGUCUCUUGGCAGGGCUGUGAGGCUCAGCAGGCAGCACCUCCUAGUGGAAGCUCUAAUGUUGCCCUUGCUUGGCCAGGUGCCGGAUGUGCUCACUGACCUUCUACUCAAAGUCGGAGAUGCAGAUCCACUCCAAGUCACACACCGAGACCAAGCCCCACAAGUGCCCACACUGCUCCAAGACCUUCGCCAACAGCUCCUACCUGGCCCAGCACAUCCGUAUCCAUUCAGGGGCCAAGCCCUAUAGUUGUAACUUUUGUGAGAAAUCCUUCCGUCAGCUCUCACACCUGCAGCAGCACACCCGGUAAGGCUGCUUUUACCCCUCCCUACCUAGGUACAAAACCUUCAAGGCCGUGUGGCCUGUGCCAACCAUUCUCUCCUUUGCCUUUUGAAAUCUUACUCUUUUGUUACUAUCUGAAAAUUAAACUGUGUAACCUAGCAGUGUGGGGGGCCUUGAAAAUUGUGAUUUCCAAUCCCCAGUUCUGGAACAACUUUUGUGGUUUCUUUCUGUGUCUGUUUGGAAAUCUUCUACAGAGCAGACCCUGCUUUUACUAUAUGCUUCAGUUCAGAGCCAUGGUGUGCACUCAACUUCAGGUCCAUGGGGAACAGGCGGUAUUGGCCUAUGUUCAAAUUGCUUUUUGGAAACAGGGUAACUGUGGUGAGUGUAUAACCUUAGGAAAAGGCUGAACGAGCGAGGGUUGACAAGACUGA
rnacentral:lncRNA from 1 species